AGUGAACGCUGGCGGUAGGCCUAACACAUGCAAGUCGAACGGCAGCACAGUAAGAGCUUGCUCUUACGGGUGGCGAGUGGCGGACGGGUGAGGAAUACAUCGGAAUCUACUUUUUCGUGGGGGAUAACGUAGGGAAACUUACGCUAAUACCGCAUACGACCUACGGGUGAAAGCAGGGGAUCUUCGGACCUUGCGCGAUUGAAUGAGCCGAUGUCGGAUUAGCUAGUUGGCGGGGUAAAGGCCCACCAAGGCGACGAUCCGUAGCUGGUCUGAGAGGAUGAUCAGCCAAAAUGGAACUGAGAAACGGUCCAGACUCCUACGGGAGGCAGCAGUGGGGAAUAUUGGACAAUGGGCGCAAGCCUGAUCCAGCCAUACCGCGUGGGUGAAGAAGGCCUUCGGGUUGUAAGGCCCUUUUGUUGGGAAAGAAAAGCAGCAGGUUAAUACCCCGCUGUUCUGACGGUACCCAAAGAAUAAGCACCGGCUAACUUCGUG
rnacentral:rRNA from 1 species